GGGGGCGACCAGAAGAUUCGUUCAUUCAUUAUUCCACUUUAAAAAAAAAAAGGAAAAAAGUGAAUUAAAACAAUGCAAUUUUGGAAAAAAACACAGAAACUUUUACCAAAACCUUUAUUCAGGACACGUUCACACAGACCAGGAAGUUCCUCUGUGAUGUCAUCGGCACACAGACCAGGAAGUUCCUCUGUGAUAUCGUCGUCGUCACACAGACCAGGAAGUUCCUCUGUGAUGUCAUCGUCGUCGUCGUCACACAGACCAGGAAGUUCCUCUGUGAUGUCAUCGUCGUCACACAGACCAGGAAGUUCCUCUGUGAUGUCGUCGUCGUCACACAGACCAGGAAGUUCCUCUGUGAUAUCGUCGUCGUCACACAGACCAGGAAGUUGAGCGCCGCCACACAGACCAGGAAGUUCCUCGGAGUCGCCGACACAGACCAGGAAGUUCCUUUUGGCGAAAAGACCAGGAAGUUCCUACAAGCACGUUUUUCUUACAAAUACAGCAGGUUAAAAAAUGAACAAGUUUGAUUGACAGACAGGAGGCGGGCCUAACCUUCUUUCAUUCAUGACUUGAUUGAGGGGGGCGGGACCAGAAAGACAACCCUAAAGUAUGUUUUUCAAAUUUCAAAAGAUUUUUUUGAAUUUAAAAUUUAAUUAAAGGGUCUUUCUAAAGAACCAAAAAUUAUGUUUUAUUUGGGUUAAAAUUUGAAAACAAAAAUAUGAAAGCUUAGAUUUUGAACAGAUUUUACGUCAAAGAAAAAGGUUAUUUUCUUAAUUCGGGUUCUAAAUAUUUGGUUGUUUUAGUUUUCUAUUUGUUCAUAGAUAUUAUUAAUACAGUUUAAGGCUAAACUGUAAAAUAUCAAGCCUCAAUUACAUUUGUCUUCCAUAAGUGUUUGAUACCGACAUCUUGGGAAUCACUGACAAUUACAAAUUAUAUAAAAAUAUAUAUAUUGACCAAAAUGUAUUGAUUUUUUUUUAACUCCCCAAUAUCGUGUCAUAAUCAGACCCCAGAGAUUUUUUUUCAAUCCAAUUAGAAAAUAAAACAUGAGAAAUCAAUAUUUCGCCCAGCCCCAGAAAAAAAUAUAUCAAAAUGAUUUUUUAUCUUCCAUCAGUUCCAGCUUUGACUAGUCGUGAAAUGGGCAGAAUUUUUUUCUCUCAAAACAAUUAAACAAAGAUAGUAAAAAAAGUUCCUUCCCCACAAAGUCUCAAAAACGUUCCGACUUCCUCUCACUUGUCCGGGCGUGGAACAGUGGUGCGUGGGCCACACGCGCGGCGAGCGCGGGCGAGGGCGGAACCGGGCGGAGGCGGAGUUCCACGGGUUCUCGAGGGGCCGAGGGGCCGACGCCACCAAGUCUCUGACGUUGAGUUUCGGGUCGACAGGAGCAAAGUUGUUAUGAAGUGUCGUGUCCGAGUCGGCGGGUUCGGACUGAGAGCUGCGCUUCGGGCGCGACGAGUGGAAGGCGGCGGAGGAGGGCGAGGCCAGGUGGUUGGCGUGUCCGUCGGUCAGAGCGUCGGUCAGAGCGGCGAUCGAGCGAAAAGAAAGCGUGUUAGGGGGAGGCGAAGGACGUGAACGGUGCAAGUCAACGGGUGGCGGGAGAUCACGAGGGGAUUCGUCUUCAUGGUCCCCCGCAGC
rnacentral:lncRNA from 1 species